rnacentral:rRNA from 1 species
AGUGAACGCUGGCGGUAGGCCUAACACAUGCAAGUCGAACGGCAGCACAGUAAGAGCUUGCUCUUACGGGUGGCGAGUGGCGGACGGGUGAGGAAUACAUCGGAAUCUACUUUUUCGUGGGGGUUAACGUAGGGAAACUUACGCUAUUACCGCAUACGUCCUACGGUUGAAAGCAUUGGAUCUUCGGACCUUGCGCGUUUGAAUGAGCCGAUGUCGGAUUUGCUAGUUGGCGGGGUAAAGGCCCACCAAGGCGACGAUCCGUAGCUGGUCUGAGAGGAUGAUCAGACACACUGGAACGGAGACACGGUCCAGACACCUACGGGAGGCAGCAGUGGGGAAUAGUGGACAAUGGGCGGAAGCCUGAUCCAGCAAUACCGCGUGGGUGAAGAAGGAAUUAGGGUUGUAAAGCCCUUUUGUUGGGAAAGAAAAGCAGCAGGGUAAAACCCCGCUGUUCUGACGGUACCAAAAGAAUAAGCACCGGCUAACUUCGUG